GCAGUAGUAGUUCAGUGGUAGAAUUCUCACCUAACAGGUAGGAGAUCUGGGUUCGAUUCCCAGCCAGUGCA
rnacentral:tRNA from 1 species